CCUACGGGAGGCAGCAGUGGGGGAUAUUGCACAAUGGGGGAAACCCUGAUGCAGCGACGCCGCGUGUGGGAAGACGGUCUUCUGGAUUGUAAACCACUGUCCCCAGGGACGAAAAUGACGGUACCUUGGGAGGAAGCUCCGGCUAACUACGCGCCAGCAGCGUCGGUAAUACGUGGGGAGCAAGCGUUGUCCGGAAUGACUGGGUGUAAAGGGAGCGGAGGCGGGGGUGCAAGUUGGGUGGCAAAACUAUCGGCUCAACCGAUAGGCGCACUCAAAACUGCAGCUCUUGAGUGAAGUAGAGGCAGGCGGAAGUCCUAGUGUAGCGGUGAAAUGCGUAGAUAUUAGGAGGAACACCAGUGGCGAAGGCGGCCUGCUGGGCGUUUACUGACGCUGAGGCUCGAAAGUGUGGGGAGCAAACAGGAUUAGAUACCCCGGUAGUC
rnacentral:rRNA from 1 species